rnacentral:rRNA from 1 species
AGACAGGUGGUGCAUGGCUGUCGUCAGCUCGUGUCGUGAGAUGUUGGGUUAAGUCCCGCAACGAGCGCAACCCUUGUCUUUAGUUGCCAUCAUUAAGUUGGGCACUCUAAAGAGACUGCCGGUGACAAACCGGAGGAAGUGGGAUGACGUCAAGUCAUCAUGCCCCUUAUGACCUGGGCUACACACGUGCUACAAUGGGCAGUACAACGAGAAGCAAACCCGCGAGGGUAAGCGGAUCUCUUAAAGCUGCUCUCAGUUCGGACUGCAGGCUGCAACUCGCCUGCACGAAGCUGGAAUCGCUAGUAAUCGCGGAUCAGCACGCCGCGGUGAAUACGUUCCCGGGCCUU